UGUUGACCUCGGAUCAGGUAGGAAUACCCGCUGAAC
rnacentral:rRNA from 1 species